GGAUGUGCCCAGAUGGGAUUAGCUAGUUGGUGGGGUAACGGCUCACCAAGGCGACGAUCCCUAGCUGGUUUGAGAGGAUGACCAGCCACACUGGAACUGAGACACGGUCCAGACUCCUACGGGAGGCAGCAGUGGGGAAUAUUGCACAAUGGGCGCAAGCCUGAUGCAGCCAUGCCGCGUGUAUGAAGAAGGCCUUCGGGUUGUAAAGUACUUUCAGCGGGGAGGAAGGGAGUAAAGUUAAUACCUUUGCUCAUUGACGUUAUCCGCAGAAGAAGCACCGGCUAACUCCGUGCCAGCAGCCGCGGUAAUACGGAGGGUGCAAGCGUUAAUCGGAAUUACUGGGCGUAAAGCGCACGCAGGCGGUUUGUUAAGUCAGAUGUGAAAUCCCCGGGCUCAACCUGGGAACUGCAUUUGAUACUGGCAAGCUUGAGUAUCGUAGAGGGGGGUAGAAUUCCAGGUGUAGCGGUGAAAUGCGUAGAGAUGUGGAGGAAUACCG
rnacentral:rRNA from 1 species